rnacentral:rRNA from 1 species
UAAUACUCCAUAGAUUAGAGACACUGGAAUGUUCUUUAGUCGAAAGUUCUGGCGCCUUAGGAUGGAUCUGCGGUCGAUUAGGUUGUUGUUGGGGUAACGGCCCAACAAGUCUGUAAUCGAUACGGGUUGUGGGAGCAAGAGCCCGGAGAUGGAAUCUGAGACACGAUUCCAGGCCCUACGGGGCGCAGCAGGCGCGAAAACUUUACAAUGCAGGAAACUGUGAUAAGGGAACUCCGAGUGCCCGUAUACGCGGGCUGUCCAGGUGUUUAAAAAUCAUCUGAAGAAAGGGCCGGGCAAGACCGGUGCCAGCCGCCGCGGUAAUACCGGCGGCUCGAGUGGUGGCCACUAUUAUUGGGCUUAAAGCGUCCGUAGCUGGACCGAUAAGUCUCUUGGGAAAUCCGCCGGCUCAACCGGCGGGCGUCUAAGGGAUACUGUUAGUCUAGGGACCGGGAGAGGUGAGAGGUACUCCGGGGGUAGGAGUGAAAUCCUGUAAUCCCCGGGGGACCACCGAUGGCGAAGGCAUCUCACCAGAACGGCUCCGACAGUGAAGGACGAAAGCUGGGGGAGCGAACCGGAUUAGAUACCCGGGUAAUCCCAGCCGUAAACUAUGCGCGUGAAGUGU